rnacentral:rRNA from 1 species
CCCUUAGAUGUUCGGGGCCGCACGCGCGCUACACUGAAGGAAUCAGCACGUCUUUCUCCUUGUCCGAAAGGACUGGGUAACCCGCUGAACCUCCUUCGUGCUAGGGAUUGGGGCUUGUAAUUCUUCCCCAUGAACGAGGAAUUCCCAGUAAGCGCGAGUCAUAAGCUCGCGUUGAUUACGUCCCUGCCCUUUGUACACACCGCCCGUCGCUACUACCGAUUGGAUGGUUUAGUGAGAUCCUCGGAUUGGUCCCGGAGCGGCCUCUGGUCGUGCCGGAGUGCCGAAAAGAAUGUCGAACUUGAUCAUCUAGAGGAAGUAAAAGUUGUAACA